GGAGAGGAGCAGUUCAUUUGACUUGCUCUUCGGCACGCUACGUUUUCCAAUUAUUGCUUUAGUUGUGUAUUUUCGUUGUUUGUAAAUAUUUGCGCGCUCUAGAAUUCGGCCUUUCUGCGAGCGAGGAGUCGCGAUCAUCGUCCUUCCAAAAUCGACAUCGUAUACACCUAAUUUCGGUGAAAUUGGCGAGUAGCAUUUCGAUAGUGGAAAUACUAAAGCAUCGUACUUCACUCUGCGACAUUUCAAAUUUUCUGCCACGUUUCGGUUCUCUAGGAUAUAGGCCUUUCUUUCUAAUUGCAACGACUAGGUUAUGAUUACAAACGUGUUUCGUUGGGCGAAAAGUAAAUUCCCGGUGCUGUGAACUGAAGCCCAAAUGACAUAUCUAGCUUUUGAGGAAGGCUUUGUAUUUUAACAACUAAAAGGAGAAAAAGGACAACCAACCAUGGGGCCUAUUCAGAAGUCAUUGAAAUAAAUUUUCCGUAUCUCUUAG